GUCUAUAGCCAUACCACACUGAAUGUACCCAAUCUUGGAAACUAAGUGGGGUUGGGACUAAUUAGUUCUUGGAUGGGAGAAAGGAAAAAAAAUGAAGACGUUUCUGAUU
ensembl:rRNA 5S_rRNA 5S ribosomal RNA